GCGGGCAUAUCAUCCAGUUUAAAAACCAAUACAAUAGGUGUCGCGUAUCGGAAUAUGCCCUGUGUCGGACUGCAUCGGACAAAUUUCUUCUUUUUAUUGGCCAAAAUAAAAUAAAAUUUGUGUGUGUGUGUGUGUGGUGGGGUGGGGGGAUGGGUAAUAAGAUAUCAUUUGUUUUUUUUUUUUGAACAUGUAUUCUGAUUCCUUCGUAAUAAUACUAUCUGUUAGGUUGACCUGCUGUAAUUUGUGAUGUUGCGUCUUUUAGUUAUAAAUUGUGGAUGUUUCAUUUCCACAAACUGAUUUUUGAAACAAAUAAAAGUAUUUGAAAUUUGUCAAAAAAAGAA